rnacentral:sRNA from 1 species
UGAUUGUUGGUAGCAUAAUCUCAGCUGGUAAAUCUGAGUUGACCUUUGAUCUCAAGUUACUAGCCGAGAUUAUGUUAACUUCACAC